rnacentral:lncRNA from 1 species
GGGAUCUGGAAGCUUCCACCCCCGCUUGGAGAAAAACAAGUGCCACUCUACAAUGGAAAUCAGAAUUUAAAAAAUUGUAGCAGGUGUUGGCGAACGUUUCCUUUUUACGUCCAAGAAUCUGCUGAUCAGUACACAGACUGGAAAUACAAUGAACAGCAAAAAUGGGUCUUUGACGCUUAUCAGUGUGGCUGGACAAAUCUUGUGGAGUCUGAAGUAUUUGCCAACGUGAGAUUCACAAGCACGCCUUUCUGCACUUGAUUUACAUUCUGCCCAUUCUCU